rnacentral:rRNA from 1 species
AGAACGAACGCUGGCGGCAUGCCUAAUACAUGCAAGUCGAACGAACACUUCGGUGUUAGUGGCGCACGGGUGCGUAACGCGUGGGAAUCUGCCCUUGGGUUCGGAAUAACAGUUGGAAACGACUGCUAAUACCGGAUGAUAUCGAAGAUCAAAGAUUUAUCGCCCAGGGAUGAGCCCGCGUAGGAUUAGCUAGUUGGUAGAGGUAAAGGCUCACCAAGGCAACGAUCCGUUAGCUGGUCUAGAGAGGAUGAUCAGCCACACGUAGGGACUAGACGACACCGGCCCAGUACCGUACCGUACGGGAGCAG